rnacentral:tRNA from 1 species
GCCCCCGUAGCUCAACGGAUAGAGCAAGGCACUCCUAAGGCCGAGAUAGGUGUUCAAUUCACCUCGGGGGCACAA